CGGGACCAGCCGGGAGGUGUGCGAGCCGCAGAGACUGAUGCUGUUCCUGGUCUGCAGAGCCAGCUUGGACCGAGAUUCAUAUGUAACCUUCCCUUAAGAUUUUCUCUUCUGCUGGACCAGUUCGGGUCUGCUUCUGCUUCUUACAACCAACGGCUAAGGAACCGGAAGAACAGACGUGCUGUGAACUCUGAGAAAGCCGUGAAGAGUUAGAAGGUGGAGAGGCAAAGCCUGUAGAGUAUGACAAUUUUUACAUUUUAAUCAUCAGCUGGGGAGGAGGAUCUGAGGACAACUUUAUGGAGUGGCUUCUUUCCAUCCGCCUUUACAUGGGUGCCUGCAGGCGUCAACCUCUACUGACCACACUUCUGUGGCCGUCGCCGUUCUCCACUGAGCCGUCUAUCUCGCUGAUCCUCUUGUUCAUACAGCAGAUAUCAAAAUAAUUUCUCAGGAAGCUAUUAUAUUCAGAAGUACUCCUCAACCAGAAGUAUAAAUCAUAGUUCCUAUGCUUUUAUGAAAAGCUUCCUGUUUAUAAUUGGAUGCCAGAUUCCUUAAGCAUCAAUCUUGAUCACUCAAAGCAAAUCUUGGCAUUUUUACACUUUCUCAUGUAGAACAGGAACCUUAACGAGGAAGACGAAAUUUUCAAUGAAAACAAAAUAAAAUAUUUGACGCUCAGUCUUCAGUUUCCCAAGUUGAUCUUUAAGACACUCAGUGUAUUUGGAAAUGUAUCCGUGCGUUCAACUUCAAGGUCCCAGGAGCAAAUACCUAAUGGUGUUUAAUAGGUAUAUUUAUCGCUGACAAAUUAGCUUCCAGUAGAUGGAAUGGAACUGAAUGCACUGCAGUCUAGCCAACGAAGUUUCUGCUGCUUAAACUCAGUUUAACAGAGGUUACAAAAAUCAAAAUGGUCAGUGCUUUAAGAAGGUACGUGGGUUUCGCUGUUGUUUUAAUUUUACUCUAGCUUGAAAAAAAACCUUGACUUUUCUAUCUCUGGAAGUAUGUAAAUUAAUAAAAAAAACCCAUACCCAGUGCUA